GUCUCUGGCCAUACCACCCUGAACAUGCCUGAUCUGUUUGAUCUCAGAAGUUAAUCUGGGUCUGGCCUGGUUAGUACUUGAAUGGAAGACCAUCUGGGAAUACCAGAUGCUGCAGGCU
rnacentral:rRNA from 1 species